rnacentral:rRNA from 1 species
UACGGAGGGGGUUAGCGUUGUUCGGAAUUACUGGGCGUAAAGCGUACGUAGGCGGAUUAGUCAGUCAGAGGUGAAAUCCCAGGGCUCAACCCUGGAACUGCCUUUGAUACUGCUAGUCUUGAGUUCGAGAGAGGUGAGUGGAAUUCCGAGUGUAGAGGUGAAAUUCGUAGAUAUUCGGAGGAACACCAGUGGCGAAGGCGGCUCACUGGCUCGAUACUGACGCUGAGGUACGAAAGCGUGGGUAGCGAAAGGG